UUAUAAAUAAAUAUUUAUGCCCAAAUUGUGUGCUGUGUUAAUUUGUUCUGUGAGUCUGCUCAACCAAGAAACGAUAUUAGUUCUUGAAUUUGUUGUUUGAAGUUAAUGUUGAUUUCUUUGGUCUUCUAUUUCAUUAUUUGUUAAAUAUGCAGAAAGGCAAAUAUACCUAUCUUGUAUAGAAAAUUUGUAAAAUUUGAAGUGUUAUAGAUUUGUUUGAAGUUCAGAAGGGCAAGCAUGCUACAAGUUAUUGUGGAUGGUGAAGAGAGCUGGUUCUUGUUUGAAGAAUGCUUGGCGUGAAGAAUAUGGUUUAAAUGUCCUGAAUUACGGAUAACGUCUUCAAGCUUGUUAAGCUCAGUUGUCAAGAUUUGCAUCUUGUUUCAACUUUGUGGCAUUUGUCUUCACUUUUGGCAUCAAGAGUUUACUGGGCUAGUCUUUUCAAAGUAGCUGAGGGGGGCAUGGUUCCCAUGGCCUUUCCUUUAUGGGCGUUGACAAGUUUUUUCAAGCAUCUUCCACUUCAUUUUCAAACUAUGGCUAGCUGUGCCAAUGUAAACUUAUUUAAAAGAUUGUUUUGUUUCAGUAGCUGCCUGGUGGACUCGCGUUGGUGCAUUCUGCUGCAAAUUUGUUUUUAUGUCCCAUGACAUGAUUCAUCUAUCAGGAGUCAAAAGUGUUCUUACUAUGCAUUGACUUUCUUGUGAUUCAAUGUUAUAGCGGUUGACUCCAUAACAUGCCCCUUAUGUUAAUGUCAACCAAUGUCAAGUAGGGUUGUUGAUCACCCAGUGCCCAUUGCGUGUGACACUUGAUCACUUCCUUUCAAUCAAGUCAGGUGAUAACACAUUUCUCUUGCUGUCCUAUCCCCUAGGGGAUAGGAAAGGAGUUUUUUCUUUAUAAAGCAAGUGAAUCUUGUCUCAGUGGUCAGGAGCAUUGAUAUAUCUGUGCCUGACUGACAUAGCUGAGAAAGCUCGUUGCUGGUCAAAGAAAGGCAAAUAUUUGAUCUUAGGCUCUGCUUGGGAGGGUGUUUCUUUUGGGGAUUGAUUUAGAUUUAAUUUUCUUCUGAUGGGCCACGCAAGGCCAGGCGGGCGUGUAAUCUAUGUCUCAUCAUCAAUGCCUCUCAUCCUGAUCACAGGCCUUUGCUUCAGCUAUAAUUGUUUGCUCUGUCCAUGAAGCACGCUACUUUAACUGAUCAGGAGUAGAGUUAAGUGGCGGAUAGCUUAGCGGGGUCGUUAGGCAAUCACGGAAUAAUUAGCAUUUUUGGAUCAGGUUUUUGAGGCUUUGUAUGUAUACUUAGUUCUAGUCAUUUAGGUGUACGACUGUUGUCAGCAUCUCUGGUCCAUUGAGUCGGCUUCAGGCCAUGACAAAGCAAAUGAUCAACUUCCUCUUGUUAACUCAUAUUUUAUAUUUUCAGGAUUUUUUUUUAAUUUUUAACCCAAUUAAAAAAAAACUUGUUAUGGUUAAUUUUACAGCAUGUGCGUUACAUGUCAUUGUUAAAUCAUUUUAAUUUUUUUUUGAAGUUCCUACCCAUUC